AUGCCGGGCCGGCGGUCGCUCGGCGCUCUGCUGCCCCGCCUGUCUGUUGCUAGAAGGCGGGGAGGCGCAGGCGCGCCGCGGGGCAUGCCGGUCCGGCGGUUGCUCGGCGCUCCGCUGCACCUCCUACCAGUUGCCAGGAGGCGGGGAGGCGCAGGCGCGCUGGAGGCGGCCGCGGGGCACGCCGGUCGCUUGGCGCUCGGCUAUCCAGCCUGCCGGUUGCUAGGAGGCCGGACGCCGGCCCGGCCAAGGGUGUGGGUGCCGGGGCGUCUCCUCCCGGGGCCUGGCCCUGCUGAGGGCAGCGUGGCCGCCCGGUCCUGCGCGCGGCGAUGGAGCCCGGGAAGAGAAGAACCAAAGAUGAUACUUGGAAAGAAGAUGAGCUCAGAAAACACCUUUGGGCCGCUGGAUCAGCCAGUCCCACGGAAGAGACGAGGCCCAGAGCCAGGAAGCCGCGGAGGGAGUCAGAGGCGGACUGGGCGGACCGCAAAGAGCGCAGACCCAGCACCCCACACCGUGACGCCGAGUACAGAGACAGCGCGGCCGAGAGGGACGGCCAGGCUGCCGGGGGGCGCCCCCGCGGGGACAGGGACAGGGACAAGACGCGGGACAGCAGGAAGGACAGGGGCCGGCCACAGGAGAAGCACCGGGAGCGGGACGCGGAGAAGCCCCACGGCCGAGCAAAGGAGCGCGAGAGGGGCCGGGCGCGGCCAGCGGAGCUGUGGCAGGUGGCCGCGCACCCCAGCCGGCUGGGUGGCGACCGCGACCGCGACAGGGACCGAGACAGGCCUGAGCGCAGGCGGGCAGUAAGUAAAGCAAGAAUUGCAGAGGGGGAACGGAGAGAUGAAGACUCUGAGAGAGGAGAUGAGGAGAGAGAAAGGAGAUACCGAGAAAGAAAGGUAUGCAGGGCGAGGCCUGGGAGGGGCUCCAGCUGCAAAGCUCAGGGCGCUCAGGCACAGGCGUUAGAGGGCUUCUGAAAAAUACUGUAAAACGGAAUCUAAGACCUAAGACAGUUCUCAGGCACUAAGUUCUCACAGGCAAGUGUGUUUCUCCAAUUCCAAGAGUAAACCUUGGUUAUCUUGGAAAAUUUACAAAAUGCAAAUAAUAAUAAGAGAAAAAAUAAAAAACAGAGAUAAUUACUGAUAAUGUUUAGAUAUAUGCCCUAUAGGUUUAUGUACAUAUAUUCAUAUAAGUGUAUGUGUUUGGAUAUGUACAUAGAAGUUUUAUUUUCUUAAGUUGGAUUUUUACUGUUUUGUAACUGUUCUGAUGCACUUGGAGCAUUUUUCCUGAGCUGUCACGUCUGUCUGUAGGUUUAUGUACAUAUAUUCAUAUAAGUGUAUGUGUUUGGAUAUGUGCAUAGAAGCUUUAUUUCCUUACGUUGGAUUUUUACUGUUUUGUAACUGUCCUGAUGCACUUGGAGCAUUUUUCUGAGCUGUCACGUCUGUCUAUAGUAUUUUAACACCUGCAUAAUACAGUAUUCAAUGAUGUUUUCUGGACACAUCUGCUUUUUUUUGGAUACUUACGUUGCUUCUAAAUUUUUUUGGCAUUGUAAAGACAUCCAUGGUAUAAACUUCUUGCGUUUAUUCAUAAUUAUUUCCUUAUGAUUAAUUUCUGGAAGUGAACUUGCUAGAUCAAAGUAAGUGUUACCCCAUUUGUUUUACGUUAGACUGUAAUUGUUCAUACAUCAGAGUGUGAUUCCCCAUGUCCUAAGCAGCAAGUGGGCAUUAUCAUAAUUUUUAACAUUUGCUAAUUUGAUUCAGAAGCAGAGGGUAUUUUAAAAAAAUACUUAUUUUUAUUUUUUUAUUUAUUUGGUUGUGCUGGGUCUUAGUUGCGGCAGGUAGGCUCCUUAGCUGUGGCUCGCUGGCUCCUUAGUUGUGGCAUGUAACUCUUAGUUGCGGCAUGCAUGUGAGAUCUAUUUCCCCGACCAGGGAUCGAACCUGGGCCCCCUGCAUUGGGAGCACAGAGUCUUAUCCACUGGACCACCAGGGAAGUCCCCAAAGGGCAUUUUAUAAAAGGGUUUAUUGUCCUAUUAUUAGUUACUACCUGCGUACGUCUGCAUACUUGUCUAGUGGGGUGUAUUGUUAACUUUAAGAGUACUUUAAAGAUGAGCUCUCUGCUAGUUAUAUAUGUCAGUGUUCUGUUUGUUUUACUGUGCAGUUGUUAUUUUUAUAAGUGAGUUUAAAGUUAUGAAGUAGUCAGGUCUGUCUUUCCUUAUUUCUGUUGUUGUUGUGAUGCUUGGAGAGCCCUCUUCCCCACGCUGGUGUCAUGUAAGGAGUCGCCUGUGUUUUGUUCUGGGUCCUCAUAAUUUUUUAACGGUAAAUCUUUAAUUCCCUUCAAAUUCAGUCUGUGAUGGGUGUGCAGGAAUCUAACUUCACACCUGAGGAGCCUCUCCAUGUCUCUCUUUGGGAAGGUUAUCCUGGUGGCCAUGAGCAGAGCGGGUGGGGGCUGGAGGGGAUGGAACCACGGGGAACAGAGGCGGAGGAGGCCCUGAGUGAACGGAGAAGGACGGUUCAGUUUGGGUCCUGCUGAGACAUGGUAGUGAUGCUCCCCGAACCCGGCGCUCAUGACCCACUGUGUAAGCUCGCAGAUCGCUGCCUUGUGGCCUCGGCACCCGUGGUCCCUGGACAUCCCUGGAGGCUUGGGGGAUGCAGGGAUGGCUGAACCAUCUCCCUGCGGGUGGGGGCAGACAUGUGAGCUGUGUGCCAUGAAGAGAGGCGCAAUGUGCACCCACGAAAGCGGAUGUCCUUCCAGACAAGUUACAUGGCUCUCUCAGGAGGGCCUUGCGUGUUGGUAGCGCUCAGGACGCGGGGGAGUCGAGGAGAGGGCGGCAGGAAGGGCAAGGGUGUCCGCCAUGCAGAGGAAUUGGGACGAUGCUCCUCCUUAGGGUGAGGCUGCUGGCUGCGGUGUCUGUUGUCGUGUGUGUGUGUGUGUGUGUGUGUGUGUGUGUGUGUGUAGUCUGCGUGGUUUCCUUUCCCAUCGCCAGGUGAGUAUGGGAAGGUGCCCGUGGCAGGACAGGGGAGCGAGAGCCAGGGGAGCUCUGUGUCUUCCCCUGUGUUUGCUGUAAUGUGUAUAUAAGACAGCA
ensembl:lncRNA